rnacentral:lncRNA from 10 species
GUUUUUUCAGUCCUCUCUUCCCCCAGGACGUUGCUCAGACUGUGUCCAAGGGCUCCCUGUGCCCGCAGUGAGAUGACAGCUUUCCUGCUGCCGGUAACACUGAGGAAGGCUGAUUGAGCACAGCUUAGGGGACAAGGUCCCUGCAAAUCAGGGACACGGAGUAACUCCUGGUCCUCAGCACAGCCCCUAGAAGAGGGCGCCUCGCAGACCCAUUUCACACAUGAAGGAAGCAAGGUCAAAGCUCUGGCCCGGCCGCUCAUCAGCUUCCAGGGCUCUGCCCUCGGAGUCCACGCUCUGAAGCGGGGUCGCGUCAGGCAUCGCAUCCCCAGCAGCUCACCGAUCGCAGUUCCCAAACGGCCGUAUGCCGCACACGUCCCAGCUUCUUCCGGUGGCGAUGGCCACAGAGAUGCGAGUGCUGUCACUGCUGAACGCAGCAGAAGGGCUAAGUGCCCACUCAGCCCAGGGCAGAGGAGCACAAGGUUCCUCCAACCUCGAACAGGCUUCCUAGCGUUCCCAGACCCCGUGCCCUCCUUAGAGAGGGAAGGAUGCCACCUCCCUCAGGAGCCACUGCCAGGUCUGUGCCUGUACUUUGCACAUAUUGUCACCUCCGGUCCUACAACAACCCUCGGCGAUGGGCAGGCUCGCUAUCCCCACUUACAAGUGAGGAGACUGAAGAUCAGAAAGGAUAAGUGAGCGGGCCGUGAUCACUCAGCUACUGAGUGGCGGGGCCAGGAUCUGAACAGAGGGCUGGUGGCUCCAGGAUCUGCAGUCCUGCUGAAUUCUGGCGUUCCUCCCUCCUCUGACCCUCCAAGGCUGCCUGCACCUGUGGCAGAGAACACUGAGCUGCCUUUGCAUAAAUGUGCUCUCACACCAUGCUCUGCUUUUCCACAGGGCUGUUCAUUGCUUGACUUGGCACAAUUCACAGUCACGUGCCACACAGUGACAGACCACAUAUAGGGAGGUGGUCCCAUAGAUUAUAGUGGAACUAAAACAUUUCUAUUGCCAGGCCCCCCGGGGCUUUCUGAGUACAAGAAGGCUGCCUUUUUUUUUUUUUUUUUUUUAAAUCAGAGCCAUUGUAACAUUCUAGCACAAUGACUGUAUUUUUUAAAUUAAUUUAACCUAAGUACACAGUGGUUGGGUUAAAAUCUACAGUAGUGUACAGUCAUCCCCAAGGCCCUCCCAUUCACCAGCCCCUCACUCACUCACUCACCCAGGGCAAUGUCCAGUCCUGCAAGCUCCACUCAUGGUCAACAAGAUCUACCCUCUCAAAGGGCUCUUGAGUGAGCCCCAAAUUGGGUAUGACAGCAGCAUCCUCUCAGAGGCUCAGACUUCCUCAGCGCAGAUGAAUCAGACCAGAGGUACAUCGUGUUCAUUAGCAAGAAAGUGGACCGGGUUCUGGGGUUGUCCCUUUGAAAGGCUCCAGAGGAAAUUACAAAUUAUUUUUCUGUGGGGCCACCCUGAAGGGCUUCCUGCCUCCACUCUGGACAUCACUGGGCUUUAGUCAUAAGACUCACCCAGUUGGUGGAAACUGGGCACACAGAAGUAUGUGGCCACCUUGGAAAAGGCGAUGAAGACAAUUCUCUCUAAUGCAAGAGCAAAGAGAUAAAUGAGGACAGAGUAGCGCUUGCAGCUGGGAGCAGGAAGUGAGGCCAGGCCCCCGGGGCUUUCUGAGUACAAGACAGCUGCCUAUUUUUUUUUUUAUUAUUUUUUAAAGAGAAAAAUGCUAGAUAAUAGGACUGGAGUUCUUUCAAGGUGCCCUUCUUCACAGCUUUUGUUGUUUUGAGAAAAGCCCAAUUUGUUUUGUUUUGUUUUUGAGACAGGAUCUCACUGUGUUGCCCAGGCUGGAGUGCAGUGGAACCAUUAAAGCUCACUGCAGCCUCGACCUCCAAGGCUCAAGUGAUCCUCCUGCCUCAGCCUCCCAAGUAGCUAGAACUAGAGGUGUGCACCACUACACUCAAUAUUUUUGUGUUUUUUGUAGAGACAGGGUCUUACCAUAUUGCCCAGGCUGGUCUCGAAUUCCUGGGCACAAGCAGUCCUGCCUUGGCUUCCCAAGGUUCUGGGAUUACAGGCAUGAGCCACUGUGCCUGUCCAGAAAAGUCCAAAUUUAACAAAGCCUCAUUCUAAAUUCUCAGGUGUUUCUUGAUGACCCGACCUGUGUAAGAAAGUCACAGAGGCCUUACAAGGUGCCGGGGAGUCCCAGGGGAGUGAGGGAGGAGGAGAAUGCUGUCUGCAUGCACUCAGGGGGUACGGCCAAGACCAGGGUGGGGCAAGGCAAAGAUGGCUGGAAGAGGAAGUAGAUACAAGCAGCCAGGCCUGGCCACCUGGACUCCUUGGGAGUGGCUAGAGAACUCCUCCUGAGAGCAGAGUCCAGGUGUUUGGGCCCAAUCCUGAUUAUCCACAGGCCCUAAAGAUCCUCCAGACCACUUCUGUGCGGCCUUGGCAAGGUUCCCUCAGAGUGUGGGCUGGAAGGAGAUGGAGAGACAUGGCUUCCCCUUUGGGAGACAAAGUAAAGAACUCCAUGCUGACUAGGGAAAGGCAGGCGCAGGUUGCUGAGGCUGGCGGGAGGCCCCUGGUCAAGCCUUGGUGGGGCCUAGAUCCAAGGUCCUGACCGGUGCCACCACGGGCCAAGGCCAGCAGUGAGGCCCAGAGGCUAAGCCAAUAGCUGUGAUGCGGAGGGGGCUGUGGUGUGGGGAGCCUAGGGGUGUAGAGGAGAACUUCAGGCUCAUAAAGAGAAAUGUGAGGUGCAGUUCUCAUACACGCUGUGGGGCAGUUCCCACAGAGAAAGAAAAAUGCUCCAAAAGAUUUAAAACGUUUUCCUUUGAUUAUUUUGAAUUAUGGAUGAUCGUUAGUUCCUUCAUUUUAUAUUCUCUUCUAUCAGACUGUUUUGUAAACAACCAAAAUGAGGACUAAGUUAGAGUCAUUUGUUGAGUGAAGAGAGAGGUUUGGAGGAAAGGAUAUGGGCUCCUGAGGGAGGUUCCCGAUGGAGACUAAUCACAAACACCUUUGUACCACUUUCCCACACCCCUGUGGUGGCCCAUCCCUAGGUUCUGUGAAAACUGGAAGAAGACAUGCCACAUGACAGCUGAUUUUAAUUGAGAACUGGCCCAUAUAGUUUAGUACAGAAACUUGGAACAAAUAAACGAUGAAUAUCCAGCCAACAUCACAUGAGAAGUCAUCAGGAGGAAUCGGGAAACGGCAGAUCCAGCUUUGACCCAGCAACUUCACCGCAGGGUCCAAAUGCUGCACACUGUUUCCUUCUGGAGCCUCCUCAGUGUGUCCAAAUGAUGAAAGACCUCCCCCAAGAGGCUAGGAUCUGGAGGAGAGGCGUGAUGUGUCCAGAGGGAUGACAGCAUCUGGCAGGGCAGGAGCAGGAAAGAAGCAAAGUUAGAUUGAAAAGCCAAAAACGUCUUCUCCCUCUGUAAUGGGAGCUUUAGGAAGGAAGGUGGGCAGGACACCCAGGAGUCCCUUACUAAUGAACAAUGGGAGCUGGGAUGGGAGCCUGGUGAUGCCUGGACCUUCUGUGGCUCUGCGACGUGGACAGCAGCUGCCAGAGGAGGGAGGCCAGGCUCCAUGACAGCCCUCAGCUUAGGUGUGCGAUUUAAGAGGUUUUCCCAAAGAAUCUCCUGUCUUUCAAAGAUCUGCUUCACGGGUGGUGCUAGGGUCUGAAACCCCCACUCUAGACAUUCCUUUGAAUGAGGUUACUGGAGAGCCCUUCUGCCUGUGACCAUGCUACCUGGAAGGUCAUCUGUCCUCAUCUGGAGAAGGGUGGUUGUCCCAAAAUGGAACAAGUUAGUACCUGCCCCCAACAGGGCAUGAUAUUUUUUUUAAAAGCUUUGUUUUGAGAACCUAGGCUGGUAGUUGUGGGGCUUCAGGGAGGGACAGGGCAUGUCAGGGAAGGAGUAAAAACAGGAGCAGUGGUAGAUCCAGGGCAUCCUAUUCAACAAUUUCAGUGGCGGGUACACUAAGGCCACAUACAGUAUUUGUGGGUCUGAUGAUAUUUGAGAACUAGUUGAAAACCUUUGCAAAACUAGUUUUGUUUGAUUAUUCUGUUUUUUUUAGUGCCCCGUCUUAAAAUUUGGCCAUCUGGAAAGAUGAGAAGUAGUAUCUCAGCUUGUUUUAAUUAACAACUUGUGAGGCUGCAUAUCUUUUCAAAAGAUUGUUAGCCAUGUUGGUAUAUUCUGCUAUCAACUGACUACUGAUGCUUUUUGUCUGUUUUUCUAUUAGAGUGUUUAUCUUUCAGUAUAUCUAUUUCUAUCUAUCUAUCCACCCAUCCAUCUAUACCUAUUUUGAAGGAUUUCUUUUUUUUCUUUUUUUUUUUUUUUUUUUGACGGAGUCUCCCUCUGUUGCCCAGGCUGGAGUGUAAUGGUGUGAUCUCGGCUCACUGCAAGCUCUGCCUCCCAGGUUCAUGCCAUUCUCCUGCAUCAGCCUCCCGAGUAGCUGGGACUACAGGUGCCCGCCACCACGCCUGGCUGAU